UUUCCUACCUGGCAGGGGACAUACCAUGAUCACGAAGGUGGUUUUCCCAGGGCGAGGCUUAUCCAUUGCACUCCGGAUGUGCUGACCCCUGCAAUUUCCUCAAAUGCGGGAAACUCGACUGCAUAAUUUGUGGUAGUGGGGGACUGUGUUUGCGCUUUCCCCUG
rnacentral:snRNA from 1 species